UACAGAGGGUGCAAGCGUUAAUCGGAAUUACUGGGCGUAAAGCGCGCGUAGGCGGCACUGUUAGUCAGGCGUGAAAGUCCUGGGCUCAACCUGGGAACUGCGCUUGAUACGGCAGAGCUAGAGGAUGGAAGAGGCUCGCGGAAUUCCCAGUGUAGAGGUGAAAUUCGUAGAUAUUGGGAAGAACACCGGUGGCGAAGGCGGCCUGCUGGGCUAUGGCUGACACUGAGGCGCGACAGCGUGGGGAGCAAAUAGG
rnacentral:rRNA from 1 species